rnacentral:sRNA from 1 species
UAUUCUGCCCCACGGGAAGGGAUGAGAAGCUUCGACCAAGGUUCGACUCGAGCGAAGCGAGAGAACGUUGCCGCAGGCAACGGCCCGAAGGGCGAGGCGCUUUAGCGCCGAGUAAUCCUUCCCCACCACCA